GACAGAGGUGCCAAGCGUUAGGCGGAAUCACUGGGCUUAAAGCGUGUGUAGGCGGAUAUCUAAGUACCUUGUGAAAUCCCACGGCUCAACCGUGGAACUGCUUGGUAUACUGGGUGUCUUGAGCCAUCUAGGGGCUACCGGAACAAAUGGUGGAGCGGUGAAAUGCGUAGAUAUCAUUUGGAACGCCAAUGGUGAAAACAGGUAGCUGGGGAUGUGCUGACGCUGAGGAGCGAAAGCGUGGGGAGCGAACAGG
rnacentral:rRNA from 1 species